rnacentral:rRNA from 1 species
AGAGUUUGAUCAUGGCUCAGAAUCAACGCUGGCGGCGUGCCUAACACAUGCAAGUCGAGCGAGAAAAGGGGGGCAACUCCCUGAGUAAAGCGGCGCACGGGUGAGUAACACGUGGGUAAUCUGCCCUGGAGUGGGGAAUAACACCGGGAAACCGGUGCUAAUACCGCAUACGAUCACGAUGUCUGCGGACGUUGUGAUGAAAGGAGCAAUUCGCUCCAGGAGGAGCCCGCGGCUGAUUAGCUAGUUGGUGAGGUAACGGCUCACCAAGGCUACGAUCAGUAUCCGGUCUGAGAGGACGGCCGGACACACUGGAACUGAGACACGGUCCAGACUCCUACGGGAGGCAGCAGUGGGGAAUUUUUGGCAAUGGGGGCAACCCUGACCAAGCAACGCCGCGUGGGUGAUGAAGUCUCUUGGGACGUAAAACCCUUUCGACGGGGAAGAAACCGCAAGGUUGACGGUACCCGUAGAAGAAGCCCCGGCUAACUCCGUGCCAGCAGCCGCGGUAAUACGGGGGGGGCAAGCGUUGUUCGGAAUUACUGGGCGUAAAGGGUGCGUAGGCGGUUCUCUAAGUCGGAUGUGAAAACUCUGGGCUCAACCCAGAGCCUGCAUCCGAAACUGGAGGGCUAGAGUUCUGGAGGGGGUAGCGGAAUUCCUGGUGUAGCGGUGAAAUGCGUAGAUAUCAGGAGGAACACCGGUGGCGAAGGCGGCUACCUGGACAGAAACUGACGCUGAGGCACGAAAGCUAGGGGAGCAAACAGGAUUAGAUACCCUAGUAGUCC